AAAUUGAAGAGUUUGAUCAUGGCUCAGAUUGAACGCUGGCGGCAGGCCUAACACAUGCAAGUCGAACGGUAACAGGAAGCAGCUUGCUGCUUUGCUGACGAGUGGCGGACGGGUGAGUAAUGUCUGGGAAACUGCCUGAUGGAGGGGGAUAACUACUGGAAACGGUAGCUAAUACCGCAUAACGUCGCAAGACCAAAGAGGGGGACCUUCGGGCCUCUUGCCAUCGGAUGUGCCCAGAUGGGAUUAGCUUGUUGGUGGGGUAACGGCUCACCAAGGCGACGAUCCCUAGCUGGUCUGAGAGGAUGACCAGCCACACUGGAACUGAGACACGGUCCAGACUCCUACGGGAGGCAGCAGUGGGGAAUAUUGCACAAUGGGCGCAAGCCUGAUGCAGCCAUGCCGCGUGUAUGAAGAAGGCCUUCGGGUUGUAAAGUACUUUCAGCGGGGAGGAAGGGAGUAAAGUUAAUACCUUUGCUCAUUGACGUUACCCGCAGAAGAAGCACCGGCUAACUCCGUGCCAGCAGCCGCGGUAAUACGGAGGGUGCAAGCGUUAAUCGGAAUUACUGGGCGUAAAGCGCACGCAGGCGGUUUGUUAAGUCAGAUGUGAAAUCCCCGGGCUCAACCUGGGAACUGCAUCUGAUACUGGCAAGCUUGAGUCUCGUAGAGGGGGGUAGAAUUCCAGGUGUAGCGGUGAAAUGCGUAGAGAUCUGGAGGAAUACCGGUGGCGAAGGCGGCCCCCUGGACGAAGACUGACGCUCAGGUGCGAAAGCGUGGGGAGCAAACAGGAUUAGAUACCCUGGUAGUCCACGCCGUAAACGAUGUCGACUUGGAGGUUGUGCCCUUGAGGCGUGGCUUCCGGAGCUAACGCGUUAAGUCGACCGCCUGGGGAGUACGGCCGCAAGGUUAAAACUCAAAUGAAUUGACGGGGGCCCGCACAAGCGGUGGAGCAUGUGGUUUAAUUCGAUGCAACGCGAAGAACCUUACCUGGUCUUGACAUCCACAGAACUUUCCAGAGAUGGAUUGGUGCCUUCGGGAACUGUGAGACAGGUGCUGCAUGGCUGUCGUCAGCUCGUGUUGUGAAAUGUUGGGUUAAGUCCCGCAACGAGCGCAACCCUUAUCCUUUGUUGCCAGCGGUCCGGCCGGGAACUCAAAGGAGACUGCCAGUGAUAAACUGGAGGAAGGUGGGGAUGACGUCAAGUCAUCAUGGCCCUUACGACCAGGGCUACACACGUGCUACAAUGGCGCAUACAAAGAGAAGCGACCUCGCGAGAGCAAGCGGACCUCAUAAAGUGCGUCGUAGUCCGGAUUGGAGUCUGCAACUCGACUCCAUGAAGUCGGAAUCGCUAGUAAUCGUGGAUCAGAAUGCCACGGUGAAUACGUUCCCGGGCCUUGUACACACCGCCCGUCACACCAUGGGAGUGGGUUGCAAAAGAAGUAGGUAGCUUAACCUUCGGGAGGGCGCUUACCACUUUGUGAUUCAUGACUGGGGUGAAGUCGUAACAAGGUAACCGUAGGGGAACCUGCGGUUGGAUCACCUCCUUA
rnacentral:rRNA from 37 species